rnacentral:rRNA from 1 species
UUAAAAAGCUCGUAGUUGGAUCUCGGCGGUCUGAGGGCGGUUCGCUUGAUUGAGUGCUACUGCUCUAUAGGCCGUGGUUUCGCCAGAGGUCUCGGGGUGCUCUUAACCGAGUGUCCUGCGAUGCUGGCAGGUUUACUUUGAAAAAAUUAGAGUGCUCAAAGCAGGCUUUUACGCCUGAAUAUUCGUGCAUGGAAUAAUAGAAUAGGAAGUCGUUUCUAUUUUGUUGGUUUUCGGAAAUCGACUUAAUGAUUAAUAGGGACAGUCGGGGGCAUUUGUAUUCAAACGACAGAGGUGAAAUUCUUGGACCGUUUGAAGACAAACUACUGUGAAAGCAUUUGCCAAGAAUGUUUUCAUUAAUCAAGGACGAAAGUUAGAGGUUCGAAGGCGAUUAGAUACCGCCCUAGUUCUAACCAUAAACGAUGCCAGCUAGCGAUCUGCCGACGUUUUCUUUGUAGACUCGGCAGGAAGCUUCCGGGAAACCAAAGCAUUUGGGUUCCAGGGGGAAGUAUGGUUGCAAAGCUGAAACUAAAAGG